UAGGGAGUAGUGUAGUGGGAGCACUAAGAGUUUUGAGCUCUUAAGUAGGGGUUCGAACCCCCUUUCUCUAA
rnacentral:tRNA from 1 species